rnacentral:rRNA from 1 species
AGAGUUGAUAUGGCUCAGGACGAACGCUGGCGGCGUGCCUAACACAUGCAAGUCGAACGGAGUGAUAGAAGCUUGCUUCUGGAACUUAGUGGCGGACGGGUGAGUAACACGUGAGUAACCUGCCUUUCAGAGGGGAAUAAUGUUUGGAAACGGACACUAAUACCGCAUAACAUAUUUGAAUCGCAUGAUUGAGAUAUCAAAGGAGCAAUCCGCUGAAAGAUGGACUCGCGUCUGAUUAGCCAGUUGGCGGGGUAACGGCCCACCAAAGCGACGAUCAGUAGCCGGACUGAGAGGUUGAACGGCCACAUUGGGACUGAGACACGGCCCAGACUCCUACGGGAGGCAGCAGUGGGGGAUAUUGCACAAUGGGCGCAAGCCUGAUGCAGCCAACGCCGCGUGCAGGAAGACGGUCUUCGGAUUGUAAACUGUUGUCCUCUGUGACGAUAAUGACGGUAGCAGAGGAGGAAGCCACGGCUAACUACGUGCCAGCCGCCGC